rnacentral:lncRNA from 12 species
AUGGAGAUCAUUUUUAUCGACUUGUUACAAGCUAAGAACUCUGAGUUCUCUAUCUUUUAUGACACGUUGAUUCUAGAAGUAACUUCUGACUCCAUUCCAGCUGUCUUCACUGAUGGAGGAUUCUGGGGGAAUGGCUAUAGGGGAGAGCAUCUUCUCCUGAUCAGAAUUUAUGGAUACACGGCUUCUAGUCAACUGACCUGGGGCCGCUUCUGUUGCACAGCCCACUCCAGCUGGCCCCCCAGUCGUCUUCCCUCAGGGUUGUCACUCUGCCCUUCCCACAAAGGAAAACAUGCCAAAAUCAGCUUUAUAACAAUCUCAGUGCUGGUUUUAUGAAACGCAACAUUUCCAUUGAAGCCACCAGCAGAAUCACUUCUGUCAGCCACCAGCCUUGUAAAAGGAAUGAAUGCAUUUUCUGUGCCCAUAAUCAUUCCUCUAUGGGAAUGAGGUCGAUUUCAAUGACUAUCUAAUAAAGGAAUAACUUAGCAUUCGAAAAAAAAAAUC